rnacentral:rRNA from 1 species
UACGAAGGGGGCUAGCGUUGCUCGGAAUGACUGGGCGUAAAGGGCGCGUAGGCGGCUUGCACCGUCAGAUGUGAAAUUCCUGGGCUUAACCUGGGGGCUGCAUUUGAUACGUGUGGGCUGGAGUGCGGCAGAGGAGACUGGAAUUCCUGGUGUAGCAGUGAAAUGCGUAGAUAUCAGGAGGAACACCGAUGGCGAAGGCAGGUCUCUGGGCUGACACUGACGCUCAUGCACGAAAGCGUGGGGAGCAAACAGG